GCAAUCUUGAGGCUCUACUAUGUAAUUCAUCUCGGAAAGUUUUAAAAACAUUUUAAAUUUUAGAUAUAGUUUCAUCAGCAAAGGCUUUUAUUCCUUACUGACUCAGAAAUCACCAUUAUGAAGUUCACGGCAUCAAUGAUUGGAAGAAAUGUGUACAUUCCUUUUAUUUUAAUAGGAGUUGAUGUUCAAUUGCAAUGAAAAAGAAAUUAUUUUUGUAAAAGCAUGUAUAUAAGAAGUUAAGUUCUUUUUUUCUUGACAGAUAUUUUCUUGAAAGCAUUUCCAUUUGUUUCCAAACUUGUUAAUAAGUUAGCUUGUUUUAAUUAUGUAAUGUUUACUGCUAAUGAAUUAAGGUAAAGUUUGCGGCUUGUGUUGAUUUUUCAUUUUAAGAAAAAUGCACAAAAGUUACACAUGAUUUUGUUUACUAUACUAAUAUGAAGUCUGUAUUAUAAUCAAAUUUUACCCGACCCAUUUUUAACUAUAAAAGGUCAAAGUUAAUGAUUUAACCCAUUAUUUUGAUGAAGACUUUAACAUGUAGGUCUUAUAUGUUGCAAGUGUGAAGGUGAAGGCAUCAAAGUUACAAAGGGUAUACCAUAAUCAUUGACUGGUCUGUCAGUCAUUUAGUCCUUCAUUGCUGGGUCUUUUUUGUAAGCAAAUUGCUUUUAAACCACUGUAAGGAAUUCCAUGAAACUUUGUAGGUAUUUAGGACACAAUGUGUAGACGUGCAUAUUACCAGGAUAUUCCAUUUUUCGUUAUUUCUGAUUUAUGUGGAAAUUGACAAAAUAUUGUGUACUGAUAGUUUUUCACUGUAAACUAUGAAAGUAAUUCAAAAUGAUUUUACUGAAGUCUAUUAUUGACGUCAUAUUUGAAAUAAAAGGGAGCUGCUAUUGCUUCAUAAUGAAAACCUUAGUUACCCCCUGUAGCCGCAAACCUUACCUUGAUGAACAAGUAAGUGGAUGAUGGACCAACCACAUAAGUGGAUCGAGUUGUAGCAUGCCACAAGGUGAACAAGGUGCUCCUUAAUGCCAGUAGUCAAAUAAUUAUUUUGGUUUUUUUGUAAUAUUUCCUCAUUUGUUUUAUUUUUUAAGGGGGUGCAAUUAAAUGCAUACACAUAUUUUAUUUUACAUGUGUGUAUUUUACAAACCUUUGUCAGGAAAGCAAGUGUUCACAAAUGACAGAAUCUCAUAUUAUUGUUCAUUUUGGCAAACAUAGACUUUAUAAUUUUGGCAAAUAAACUGUUUUUAACUUGU
rnacentral:sRNA from 1 species